UGGGGAAUAUUGGACAAUGGGCGAAAGCCUGAUCCAGCCAUGCCGCGUGUGUGAAGAAGGUCUUCGGAUUGUAAAGCACUUUAAGUUGGGAGGAAGGGCAGUAAGCGAAUACCUUGCUGUUUUGACGUUACCGACAGAAUACGCACCGGCUAACUCUGUGCCAGCAGCCGCGGUAAUACAGAGGGUGCAAGCGUUAAUCGGAAUUACUGGGCGUAAAGCGCGCGUAGGUGGUUCGUUAAGUUGAAUGUGAAAGCCCCGGGCUCAACCUGGGAACUGCAUCCAAAACUGGCGAGCUAGAGUAGGGCAGAGGGUGGUGGAAUUUCCUGUGUAGCGGAGAAAUGCGUAGAUAUAGGAAGGAACACCAGUGGCGAAGGCGACCACCUGGGCUCAUACUGACACUGAGGUGCGAAAGCGUGGGGAGCAAACAGG
rnacentral:rRNA from 1 species